GACGAACGCUGGCGGCGUGCUUAACACAUGCAAGUCGAACGGAAAGGCCCUGCUUUUGUGGGGUGCUCGAGUGGCGAACGGGUGAGUAACACGUGAGUAAUCUGCCCUUGACUUUGGGAUAACUUCAGGAAACUGGGGCUAAUACCGGAUAGGAGCUCCUGCUGCAUGGUGGGGGUUGGAAAGUUUCGGCGGUUGGGGAUGGACUCGCGGCUUAUCAGCUUGUUGGUGGGGUAGUGGCUUACCAAGGCUUUGACGGGUAGCCGGCCUGAGAGGGUGACCGGCCACAUUGGGACUGAGAUACGGCGCAGACUCCUACGGGAGGCAGCAGUGGGGAAUAUUGCACAAUGGGCGGAAGCCUGAUGCAGCAACGCCGCGUGCGGGAUGACGGCCUUCGGGUUGUAAACCGCUUUCGCCUGUGACGAAGCGUGAGUGACGGUAAUGGGUAAAGAAGCACCGGCUAACUACGUG
rnacentral:rRNA from 1 species